rnacentral:misc_RNA from 1 species
GAUGAAGAACGCAUCGAAAUGCGAUACGUAGUGUGAAUUGCAGAAUUCAGUGAAUCAUCGAAUCUUUGAACGCACAUUGCACCUCUCGGUAUUCCGGGAGGUAUGCCUGUUCGAGCGUCAUUUGUACCCUCAAGCUCUGCUUGGUGUUGGGUGUUUGUUCCGCCUCUGUGUGUGAACUCGCCUCAAAACAAUUGGCAGCCGGCGUACUUGUUUCGGAGCGCAGCACAUUUUGCGAUCCAGAUCAACGUACAGCGGCAUCCAAGAAGCCUUAUUUAACGCUCUUGACCUCGGAUCAGGUAGGGAUACCCGCUGAACUUAAGCAUAUCAAUAAGCGGAGGA